CUGGCGGCGUCUUCCUCCACGCACACUUGAGCGCUGUAGAUGAACUCCAGCACGGCCCUGCACAUGGUGGCCUCCACACCAUCCAGCCGGUAGGUGGCGUCGCCGCAGCCACCGAGCUGGUCGUCGGCCGUGAAGAGUAGGGAGAAGUAGUCGCUGCUCGCCGCCAGCAGGGCCUUGUGAGCCCGGAAGUGCUCGUCCUCCACCAGCAGGGUGAUGUCGCACAGGACGUCCCGCUUCCUGAGACGGUCGAAUUUACUCAAGAUGCUGGUCUUGUGUGAGGUAGAUGUGGCCGUCAGAGUCAUGUUCCUCCCAGAAGGACUGAAAAAGAAGAUUUACAGCAAUAACUAAUCAGUGGUAAUUGAAUUCAUCCACCUGUCAUUUAAAAAAAAAACACUUGUCAGUCAAAAUCUGAAACAGUAUGUUAUCAACGUAAUUCACGUCCUGUUCAUUAUUAAUUCAAAGUUAUUUAUUCACACUAAUUUUUUAUGUAAUCUUUUAAAGCUAUACUUUGUUAAUAAACCACUUUUGAAAAGUUUUCGUCAGGCAAGUUUGUGGACGCCCCUUUUUUAAAAGGUGUUUGCAGCUAAGUAGACUACAUACAACUUCUCGUGUUAGCAAGGAAGCUACAUCGUCUCGAACAAAACGCCCGCUCCCAGCUACACACAAAACUAAGCCAAAAAGAAACACUCACUGAAAAAAAAACUUGAAAUGAUCACAAGCUAACCAAACCUUUACUUAACCAUGCCAGUCGCUGUUUAGCGAGGUUAUUUAAAGCAGUAGUUAGCUGUUAGGACCUUAUCGACCUUAUCGCACUGCUCGCCUGGCCGGAAGAAGUGCUUGAAUGUGUUAUCGCGAGAAGUGUGGCCACGACGAGACUACCGUAACGUUACAAACCUACAUAAACCGUGGAUUGAAGUAGACGACCGUGUACGUCAUUUAUAGAUCCACUGCUUCUCUGAUUCAUCUCGUCGUAAAGGGCAGGUACAGGUUUAUUUGUUUUUGUUAAACACUCAAAAAUGUAACUUUUCAUUCCGACAACUCGACAAAUAUCCCUCACGUCUGGUGCCGGUAGAAGCUUGGCGACCUUACCCAUUACGAAAUUCAAGGUUUUAGGCACAGAAAUAAUAGCCAACGAGCAGACGACACGGCUGUCUUUCGAAAAGCUCCGUCGAGUUACUCCGACGAAAAUGCCAACAAAUGUUUUCCACAUCCCUGCAAAGUCGGAGGUGAAAUAUUUAGGAGUUUCUUGAUCAAAAGACCAAAUUAAGUCUCAGCAACAUAGAAAAUAAAAUUAAAGAAUUCACAACCAAACAAAAUUCAUGACCAGCUGGUAGCACCAGUAGGUCAUGGUGCAGGGGACGGCGGUUCGAAACCCGGUCAGGGUUGCUCUCCAAAUGGUAUGGAGUUGCUUGGUGGUCGAUAUGACACAAUGUAUGCCCUGCGAUUGGCUGGCGACCAGUCCAGGGUGUACCCCGCCUGUCGCCCGAAGUCAGCUGGGAUAGGCUCCAGCAUGCCCCCGCGACCCUAAUGAGGAAGAAGCGGUAUAGAAAAUGGAUGGAUGGAUGGAUGGAUGGACAAAAUUUAUGACAGCGGAGAGAUCCAAGGUCACUCUGCCGCCACUCCACUGACCAUCUAGACCAGAGAUAGGGAACCUGUGGCUCUUCUGAUGACUGCAUCUGGCUCUCAAACAUGUCCUAACACGAUAAAAAUGUAUUUUAGUUUUUUGUUCACUGACCUUUUAAAGUACAUUACAGAAAUCUCAGUGUUAAAAAUGAUGUUCAAAAUAUAAAACUUUGUUAUGCAUUUUAGUGCAUCCAUCCAUUUUCUACCACAAUGCGGGCGGGCAGAACUAGCUGUCCUUCCCAUAUUUUCCGGGUCAGAAACCAAAAUUGGAUUGUCACUGGAUAAUGCGGAGUAUAGAAGUGGCUCCGCCCCUGCAUAUUCUAAAAGCAAAAAUGGAAGUCAUGCAGUUUUUCGGGGUUUGCGUGAGCUUGAGUCAUUAGCAGCAUUUUUAUUUUGCAUUUAUUUGGAUCCUGCAGCAUUUGCAUGUGUUUGAAGUGUGCAUUAUUAUCUAGGCUGAAUUGAAAAGGAAGUGCAGUGCACCACUUCCUGUCCAUUUUUUAUAAUGUUAUCUAAUGCUUGGACCUUAGACUGGUUACUUCCUGUUUGGACUCAGCUAAAGUCUCCAGGAUGAAGCAAGUGAAGGUGGUGGUGGUGGGAGCGGGCGUGGUGGGCUUAUCCGCCGCCGUUUGCAUCGCCGAGGCUCUUCCCGUCUGCUCCGUCACGCUUCUGGCCGACAAGUUCAGUCCGGAUACCACCAGCGACGUGGCUGCUGGGAUCGUGUUUGCUGAAGAGUAUCCAGAUAUUCCUCUGGAAAGACAAAGACGCUGGUUCCAGGACAGCUUUGAGCACCUGCUGGCCAUCGCCCAGUCUGCACACUCGCCGGAGGCCGGAGUCAGCUUCAGUUCAGGCUGUCAAAUCUUCAAGGAACCUCCAGCCAACAAGACACCCUACUGGUCAGACAUCGUGUUUGGCUUCCGAUUCUUGAGCGAGCGCGAGCUGAACCGCUUCCCGUGUCACACGUUUGGCCAGGCUUUCACCACCAUCAGGUGUGAAUGCUCCAGAUACCUGCCCUGGCUCCUCAAGAGGUUCCAGACGGCCAGGGGUCACAUGGAGCAGAAGAAAGUCAGCAGCCUCCAGGAGUUGGGCCGCCACUACGACGUCAUCGUCAACUGCUCAGGUCUGGGCUCCAGAGCUGUGGCGGGCGACGGCCAGGUGUAUCCCAUCAGGGGCCAGGUCCUCAGGGCGGAGGCGCCCUGGCUGGAGCACUUCAUCCGAGAUAGUGACGGAAACACGUACAUCUACCCCGGCGCACAAUACGUCACGCUGGGCGGCACCAGGCAGGUGGGGGACGAGCGCCUGCAGGUGGACCGGCGAGACAGCGAGUCCAUCCUGGAGCGCUGCACCCUCCUGGAGCCAUCGCUACGCAGAGCCUGGCUGGUGGGUGAAUGGGUGGGGCUGAGGCCCGGCAGGAGGAACCCGAGAGUGGAGAGGGAGGUGCUGGAGGUGAACGGGCACGGCAGAGUGCACGUGGUCCACAACUACGGCCACGGAGGAUGGGGGGUCAGCGUGGCCUGGGGGACGGCUGUGGACACCAUGAGGCUGGUCAGGAAGUGUCUUCAGGAAUUAUCCUUACCUGCCAAACUGUGACAUUGAAUGCAGCAUCUCCUGGGAAACGAUGCAUUAGAUGCCCCUGCACCCGACUAAUAAACCCGUUUUAGCAACACAAUGUCUCCACGAUCUCUGUAAAGGCUUCCCUUCUAGUCAAGUAGGCGCUACUGUACAGCGUGUACACUCAAUGCUUGGCUAAAUAACGCUGGGGGGAAAUGUACUUAACACGUGAGACCACUGGGGGCGCACCUGGACCGCUUCUGAAAGAGAAGAGCUGCCAAAGCAGCAAAAUUUCCUGUGAGGUCCUGUCUAGAGUCCCUUGAUAGAGAGUUAGACAACUGAGAUUACGCCGCCAUGUUGGGGCCAAUUCAGGCGUGCACAGUAGACCAUGCAUGUAAAAAGUGGCAUAAAGAAUAUGAAGCUAUUCAAUGUAAUAUCCAUAAAAUAACUGCAGUUUAGAUUAAGUGCACGAAAUGAGGUUCCCCGACCACACAGAUCAAAAUAAAUCUAAAUUUGGGCCAGAUUAUAAACAGUAUAAUACGAUUAUCAUUUUUUUUUCAUUAUUGCACUUCCCAUCUAACAUUGCGAAUUCCUUCUACACUUUUGAAGCAUUUUAAAUGAAACUUAGGGGAAAUGAGGACCUUGACAUGAAGAUGUGCAAGACAUGUUUUUUUGUGUUUAUUUGUCGGACAAAGCGUUGCCAUGGUAACUUUGCUGGAGAUCAUGGAUUACUUUAUUUGCAACCAGAGGUGAUUUACACAAGGAUCAUUCACAUUAAACACAAAUUCACAACACCAAAUACAACACGUGGGACCGAACACUCUCAGCUGACCUACCUCGCGCAGCUUUGAAGACGAGUUCGGCUUCCAGCCCAAAGGGUUGAUUUUAUUCUCCCAAAUUGUCCGUCUGUUGGUAUCUGAAGGGAAUCUGUCCAGCUUGAAACCCUUGUCGUGCGUAUUUGUGCAUCCAAAUGCACAACAACCCAGCAUUUUUGAUGAAUAAACAACAAUACAGCCAAGAACACUGUUGUAUAAAGGCCAACGCUGACACGAAUUUGGCCCCAAGAUGGCUCCACGAGUCACGUGACCGUAUUUGUCUGAAAUUCUGUUUGUGUAACUUUGAUGUCUGUUAUAAGUAGAACAUUUGUAGCCUUUUCUGUGAUGUCCAAGUGUCCAUGAACGCAGCAGCAACUUGUUCCUGGAAGGUACAUGAUGCACUUGAAUGCAACCUUCUUACAAAAGGAACUAGCUGAGCACUGGUAGCAGUUUGCUAGUAUGAGCUUGCUUCCCAUGUGGGGUAUGAAGUGUCCAUCCUUGGUGUGCGUUGUAUGACUCAACAAGGUGAGUUUGAUGAUUCUUUCUGCAUUAGGAGUGUUUGUUGUUGCAUGAUUGACGCUGUGUAGGAAGCUAAAAUGAAAGCUAGUUUGUUGGAUGUGGUGUGAUUGGGGUACACUUCUGAGCCAUGUGCUUGUUUGUUGUUUGCUAGCUGGCUCACUGACUAGCAUGUUGGUCAUCAUCUCUUAGCAUGACUUGAUAUGUGUACUGUGCAUGCCUUUAUUUGUGUCAUGUGAGUGCUAUUUGGCUGCUUUAUUUGGCAUUGUUGUAAUUUCAUGUGUUCCUAUUAUUUAGACCACACACAUACAAGCCUUUGGACACACAGCUACUUGGACAAAUCCACUCCUUUGGACAAACCCAAUUUCAAUGGACUAACACACAUUUCUAACGAGCACAUCCACCUCUAUAAUAAAGAUGAUUAAUGAUUCUCUGACCGGAAUCUUUCAAUGGUGUCCCAACUCUUAAAGAACCACUACCCCUUUCCCACAGUAUUUUUUCGACUCGUCAUGUCGUAACUCUCUCUAUGAAGGGACGCUAGUCCUGUCCACACGAAACGUUCCUGGGAUUUGUUUUUUUGGCGUUCACGCUGUGCCGGAUUAGGAAAUAGUUUCAUCCAGACAGAACGGAUGACAGGGUGAGAAGGACGUAAUACACGAGGCACACCUACGUGUGGCGCUGUAAACGGCCGCACUCACGGAACCACGUGACAGCGAAAGAGUCCACCGUCUUCCUCCUUCCUAGGCUCAUGUGGAAGUACUCGUGCGAGUCAUGAUGGAGUAUACCACAACAAAGUAUCAGGAGAGCGUCCACUGGGAUGGCGUUGGUGGGGGUCUGUGCGAUAGGGGUAAGUACUCUGGCCUCUGGUCCUCCAUUUGCUUUGAUGAAGGUUUUGCACUUUGCACUCCAUGUUCCUUGGCUCCUUCCUUGCUUCCUCAGAUCACGUGCUUUCUUAGCCAUUUCAGCAUUGCUCUUUGUCAGGUGCUCCUUCAUGUAGACGUUUGUUCCUUUCAGCUUCUUUCUUUGUUUCAGCAGAGCAACCUUGAAUUUCCUGUGAGUGAAUGUGACGAUGAUGAUGAUGAUGAUGAUGAGUGCCAUACGGUGGGAUACACGUAUCCAUAGAUUGGAUGUCUACAUCCACCUCUUAGACUGCAAAAAGGUGACAACUUGUUGCUGCGUUGAGGCGACAUCCAUUUCAUCUGGUUGGUCCUCGUCCACCACUGCCCUGGCAUAGGACCUUGGUUUGAUGCCAAGCCCCGUCUCUACCACGUCAUUCAUUGGCGUGUCCUGAUCCAUGUCAUCUGUGGUGGUUUUCAGCUGCUCAAUGAUUUGAUCUUUUUCUUUUUGCAUGGAGGUGGUAGUCUCCAUCAUUUGCUGCCGCUGCUUUCCAAAUUCCCCCAUAACUCGCGCUGUGGUAGCCUCAUGCUUUUGCGCUAAGGUUUUUUCUAGCUUUCCCUCGUGGUCGUUUAGCUUCUGCAUAGCUUUCCCUGUUAGUGCGUCCAUAUUUUUACUCAUUACGUGUAUCAUCGUCAGGUCUCGGCGGAGGGUUAGGUACACGACUCGCACCUCCGGAUAUCGGUGCCUCGGGGGUCAGUACUGGAUCGGCACCUUCCGUAUUUCCAACUGAAUCCGGACUGCUUUGACCUGAACUGCUGGAGCCGCCGCUUGAUCCGCUUCUUCUCCCUUUUGUCUUUGGCAUCGUUACUGUUGCUUUCCAUUGGUUGUUUUCACUUGAGCCUUUUAUUGUGUCCAUAUUGCAGGUUCCAUUUGCAACAAGUAUUUAUGGUCUCAUUCUCCCAAUGUUCGGGAUUGGUUUUGCUAUCGGCAUGGUGGACUCUUCUAUGAUGCCAAUCAUGGGAUACUUGGUGGAUUUGCGGCACGUGUCAGUUUAUGGAAGUGUGUAUGCCAUUGCUGAUGUGGCUUUUUGCAUGGGAUUUGCUUUGGGUAAGAAUGAAGGCCCACAACUUCCACGCUACAACAUAUGGCCUCAUUUCUGGACACACUUUAGCAUUUUGGCCCCCGGCAGUGGACGGGAACUACACAGAUACAUUAUCGAGGGUCUUUCUGCAUGGUGCUCGACAGCGGGCAAAUGUGCAGCAACGUCCAGUUAGGCAGACUACCAGGAAGUUAGGCAGACUACCAGGACGUUAGGCAGACUACCAGGACGUUAGGCAGACUACCUGGAAGUUAGCCAGACUACCAGGAAGUUAGCCAGACUACCAGGACGUUAGGCAGACUACCAGGACGUUAGCCAGGCUACCAGGACGUUAGCCAGGCUUACUUUCACCUUCAUGCAAGAGAAACACGAUUGAAUUGAAGAUGUCUGUGUUGACCUCGCUGCCAUAUCUGAUUUGGAACCGAUUUGUUGGAUUUCUUUGGGGAAAAAUUGAUUUGGUUAGCAUCCGUUUUGGUUAGAGUCGGUUUAAGUUUGAGACUCUGCUGCGUCGCACAGUAACUAUGGUGCAUUCAAGGAUUACCAAACAGCAUAUGAAAUCUCAAGACGUAAGGAAAAAUACUUUAUGUGGAGUGAAGUAUAAAGACAUCAACAUAAAACUUGUGGGCUUGUUUUUAACCGUGGUACAUAUGCAGGGGUGUGGAAAAGUGUUGGCCCCCUUCCUGAUUUCUUUUUUUUUUUUAACUCAAUCAAUCAAAUGUAAAUAUUAGCCAAUGACAACACAACUCAACACUUGAUGCACUUUUUACAUGAAACCUUUUAUUCUGAAGGGAUAAAAACAUCCAAAGCUACAUGUCCCUGUGUGAAAAAGUGAUGGCCCCCCUUUAAAACACAGGUACACCGUACUUGAUGCUUCAGUGCCAUCUAGCAGUUCAAAUGUGAAUUACACCUCUCAUGACAAUCAUUCAUUCAAAAAUGGUCUCGAAAAAUGUUGCCGAUAAUAUCGAAUAGCGAUGAUAAUUUGUAGCACAAUUAUCGACCAGUGAAAUUUGUUAUCGUGACAGAUCUAUGCAGGACUGAUAUCAGCUGAUACCGAUCACAUGGAGUAACGACACGUUUCAAUGUAUGUAUCAUGAGUGCUAUUGGCCAGGGGUGCUGUAUAUAAGGGGAAAAGUCAGGACAAUUCCAAGGUCCCUUGACUGCCAAGGGACCCCCAAAAAUAGGAAUUUACUCAUUAAAUUCGUAAUUAAUUCUUAAAAGGGUGGGGGCAACGUAAUUCUUUGCAUGGGGCUGCACCUCUGCUACUGGCUAUAUGAUAUGAAAAAAGGAAGCAUAAAAUCACCUUUAUUUAGUCCAAAACAUAUUGGACUUACUUUUGGAAGGGAACAUAUAUCACUGCAUGGUGACACUUCCAGAGGAGGACAAGGACAAGGACGCCGUCUUCAAGGAAACUUUGGAUGUGAGAGCAUAGACACAGACAGACGCCGCAUCAAGUGGGUUUGUCCACUGCUGCCAUACGUCAACCUUGCCGCCAAAUUGGAUGUGUCCAGGCUGUACAGUAAAUGAAUACAAGUCAAUGUACUUACUUGAAUAA